GGGGAUUUAGCUCAGUGGUAGAGAGCACUUGCCUAGCAAGUGCAAGGCCCUGGGUUCGGUCCCCAGCUCCA
rnacentral:tRNA from 1 species